GGCUCCUUGUUAAUAUGUAAAUAAGGAGUCGGACCUGCCCAGUGAAUUUUUUCAACGGCCGCGGUACUCUGACCGUGCAAAGGUAGCAUAAUCAUUUGCCUUAUAAUUGAAGGCUGGUAUGAAUGGUUUGACAAGAAUAUAGCUGUCUCUUUAUAAUUUAAUAGAACUUUAUUUUGGGGUGAAGAAGUCCCAAUUAAAUUAAAAGACAAGAAGACCCUAUCGAGCUUUAAAAAAAUUAAUGGAAUAUAGUAUUAAUAUAAAGAUUAAAAAAUCAACUAUUAAAGAUUUUGGUUGGGGCGACUGAGGAACAAAAACAGCUUCCUUUUAAGUGUUAUAACAUACAGGUAUUGAUCCAAAAUUUUUGAUUAAGGAAAUUAGUUACCGUAGGGAUAACAGCAUUAUCCUCUUUGAGAGUUCUUAUCGAAAGGGGGGUUUGUGACCUCGAUGUUGGACCAGAAUAUCCUAAAGAUGUAGAAGUCUUUAAGGGUUGGUCUGUUCGACCAUUAAAAUUCU
rnacentral:rRNA from 1 species